rnacentral:rRNA from 1 species
UACGAAGGGGGCUAGCGUUGUUCGGAAUCACUGGGCGUAAAGCGCACGCAGGCGGGUCGUUAAGUCAGGGGUGAAAUGCCGAGGCUCAACCUCGGAACUGCCUUUGAUACUGGCGAUCUUAGAGUCCGGGAGAGGUGAGUGGAACUCCGAGUGUAGAGGUGAAAUUCGUAGAUAUUCGGAAGAACACCAGUGGCGAAGGCGGCUCACUGGCCCGGUACUGACGCUCAGGUGCGAAAGCGUGGGGAGCAAACAGG